GGAGCUCUGCCCGGGGAAAAAGAAGAAAAGGAUAUUAUUCAUUUGGCAUUCAGUCUAAUGCCACCCACAACCAGGACUUUGUGACUAAGGGUUUACAUGGCAGACUCUGGAUGGCAUGUGGUCUGCACUCCACCCUGGCCCCGAAGGAGCUGUGCUCAAGGGGAGUAAAGAUGGAACUGCGUGCUCAGGCGCUGGGCAUACCCCGUGGGCAGAGGGUAAGAAGCCUUAACUGAAGAAUUCAGAGCAGGAAGGUCUGUACUGAUUGGAGAUCAUCGACCCUGCUGUUCAUGGUCCUGUCCCACUAAGCGAACUUAGCUGGAGACCCUGAGAAGCACCAUUUGGCUCCGCACUUAACCCUCAAGAAACAGGACAGUCCCCCCGGGAGCAAUGGGCCAAAAGCUCAGGUCUGGGAGCAACAGGGACUCAAGAUGAC